rnacentral:rRNA from 1 species
GACGAACGCUGGCGGCGUGCUUAACACAUGCAAGUCGAACGGAAAGGCCCUGCUUUUGUUGGUUGCUCGAUUGGCGAACGGGUGAGUAACACGUGAGUAACCUGCCCUUGACUUUGUGAUAACUUCAGGAAACUGGGGCUAAUACCGGAUAGGAGCUCCUGCUGCAUGGUGGUGGUUGGAAAGUUUCGGCUGUUGGGGAUGGACUCGCGGCUUAUCAGCUUGUUGGUGGGGUAGUGGCUUACCAAGGCUUUGACGGGUAGCCGGCAUGAGAGGGUGACCGGCCACAAUGGGACUGAGAUACGGACCAGAAUCCUACGGGAGGCAGCAGUGGGGAAUAUUGCACAAUGGGCGGAAGCCUGAUGCAGCAACGCCGCGUGCGGGAUGACGGCCUUCGGGUUGUAAACCGCUUUCGCAUGUGACGAAGCGUGAGUGACGGUAAUGGGUAAAGAAGCACCGGCUAACUACGUG